rnacentral:rRNA from 1 species
CCCUUCGGGGGACAAAGUGACAGGUGGUGCAUGGUUGUCGUCAGCUCGUGUCGUGAGAUGUUGGGUUAAGUCCCGCAACGAGCGCAACCCUUAAGCUUAGUUGCCAUCAUUUAGUUGGGCACUCUAAGUUGACUGCCGGUGACAAACCGGAGGAAGGUGGGGAUGACGUCAAAUCAUCAUGCCCCUUAUGAUUUGGGCUACACACGUGCUACAAUGGACAAUACAAAGGGCAGCGAAACCGCGAGGUCAAGCAAAUCCCAUAAAGUUGUUCUCAGUUCGGAUUGUAGUCUGCAACUCGACUACAUGAAGCUGGAAUCGCUAGUAAUCGUAGAUCAGCAUGCUACGGUGAAUACGU